UGGUUGGGUAGGGGAGCGUCGUGUCAGUGGUGAAGCUGCCGGGUGACUGUGUGGUGGAGUUGAUGCGAGUGAGAAUGCAGGCAUGAGUAGCGAAUGACGGGUGAGAAACCCGUCCGCCGAAUGAUCAAGGGUUCCGGGGUCAAGCUAAUCUGCCCCGGGUGAGUCGGGACCUAAGGCGAGGCCGACAGGCGUAGUCGAUGGACAACGGGUUGAUAUUCCCGUACCCGUGUAUCC
rnacentral:rRNA from 1 species